UAAUACAGAGGGUGCUAGCGUUAAUCGGAUUUACUGGGCGUAAAGCGUGUGUAGGUGGUUAUUCAAGUCAGUUGUGAAAUCCCUGGGCUUAACCUGGGAACUGCUUCUGAGACUGAAUGACUAGAGUACGGUAGAGGGUGGUGGAAUUUCCGGUGUAGCGGUGAAAUGCGUAGAUAUCGGAAGGAACAUCAAUGGCGAAGGCAGCCACCUGGGCCUGUACUGACACUGAGACACGAAAGCGUGGGGAUCAAACAGGAUUAGAUACCCUGGUAGUCCACGCCGUAAACGAUGAGAACUUGACGUCGGUUUGCUCUGCAAGUCGGUGUCGUAGCUAACGCGAUAAGUUCUCCGCCUGGGGAGUACGGCCGCAAGGUUGAAACUUAAAUGAAUUGACGG
rnacentral:rRNA from 1 species